rnacentral:rRNA from 1 species
UACGGAGGUGCAAGCGUUAUCCGGAUUUAUUGGGUUUAAAGGGUGCGCAGGCGGGGGAUUAAGUCGGCGGUGAAAUUUUGCAGCUCAACUGUAAAAGUGCCUUCGAAACUGGUUUCCUUGAGUGUAGAUGAAGUAGGCGGAAUUUGUGGUGUAGCGGUGAAAUGCAUAGAUAUCACGAGGAACUCCGAUUGCGCAGGCAGCUUACUAAACUACUACUGACGCUCAGGCACGAAGGCGUGGGGAUCAAACAGGAUUAGAUACCCUGGUAGU